UCUUACGUAUGAGCAAAGAAAGUGUUUUUUUAUAGAUAGAAUCUAUUCCUGAUUAAGAUGCGGUGAA
rnacentral:pre_miRNA from 1 species